GAAUGAAUGCAUGACUUAAUGAAUUAAUCUACAAAAUGUGGAGGCUCAGGACUGACCGUGACCGUGACAGCUCUUUGUAAAUUUAAUUCAAUAUAUAUUCUUGUGUGCCUGUUUAGCGCCCACGAUGCAGGCUUUAGGCAUCAUUGUUAUAAAGAGAAUGAGGUGGGGAAAAAAAUCUGAUCUGGGCCCAAAGCGCAGACGGUAGGCGUCGUCCAUCUUUUCCCUGCUCUCUUCCUAUUCCUGAAGCGGCAGGUAGCCGUCGUGCCAGCGGAGAGCAAAGUGCCCCGGGCGCCACAGAGGCGCGAGGGGGUGGCACUCCUUCUCCACUGUCCCCUGCCCCCAUUCAGCCUUCUGGGCCUGGAGUCCUGAGAUGCAGGUGAGGAGGGAGAGAUGCCCCUCUCCCUGUCCCAUCCCGGGUUCUCGUACCCUGGUGCGUCUUCCCCUGAGAGCCAGGUCGCCCGGGACUCAUGCCUCAGUACCAGCCCAAGGCGGCCCAAGCCUCGGAAGAUUCCCCGCUGGGGUCACAAGACAGCGCGCAGGGAAACACGAGCCUGGAGCACCGGGCUCCCCCGGUGGCCCGCGGAAGGCGAAGAGCAAGUGGGUCCGGAGAACGUUGAGUGGAACGACCUUCCCUGACCUCAUUUUCAUGACGGCGCGAGCACACCCGGAGCCGGCUACGCACAUUCCGGAGCAGGCGCGCGCCGACACUCACACACUCACAUUCACACUCACCCCCUCCCCCCCAUCCCCCCGAGACCUGGGCUGGUGCACCCUGCCCAUCCCUGAGUUCACACCAGCUCCGCCACUAUUCUGGGCACUGCCGCGGCUGUGGACGCUCAAAGAAUAGAUCCUCAUUAGCAUCUUGCUUUGAAUAUCAUUUGCAUUUUAUUCAUUUCAUGUCAAAACGCUCAGAACUCUCCCCAGGCUGCACUUCUCCCCAGAGCUCGAGUGUCGUGGGCCUUCAGCUCAAGCCCCUUCGCUGGGAGCCGCACAGUUGCUGGCCGCCCCCACCCCACUCACCCUCGCGUGGCCAGAGCACCGGCCACCACCGACAGCCCCCACAAGACAGGCCACCGUCUCCUGAGCUCCUGGCGAGGUGCGGGCCCUGCGCUAGGGGUCUACGUGCAUGAUCUCAUUUCAUCCUUACGACGACCCAGAGAGCUAAGUGCUAGGUUAUACCCAUCUGAGAAUGGAGGAAACUGAGUCACAAGGCUGACUUGCUCAAGCUCAUGGAGCUGAAAAUGGAGGAAGCGCAACUGAAACCCAAGGCGGCCCAAAGCCGGAAAGCUUAGCCACUUCGCCGCCGCCAGGUCACAGCCAAGGUAACUGCGAGAGGAGAAAGUUCGUUUUCCUACGUGGAAGAAAGUCGUUCUCGCACCGCCGCGCCCCUUCCCCCACCCCGGCCGCGGGGGUCCCUCUGAUCGGGCCGCCCCCUGGCCUGACCCCUUCCCAGCGAGGGCUCGGCCGAGUCCGGCCGCCGCGCUCUCGGGGUCGCCUGUCGGCGCUGGCUAGUUAAGAAAAAUAAACAACGUUCCAAAUGGAGGCGAUUCCUUUCA
rnacentral:lncRNA from 1 species